GCUGAAGCUUGGUGCUUGCACCGAGCGGAUGAGUUGCGAACGGGUGAGUAACGCGUAGGUAACCUGCCUCUUAGCGGGGGAUAACUAUUGGAAACGAUAGCUAAUACCGCAUAAAAGUCGACAUUGCAUGAUGUUGACUUGAAAGGUGCAAUUGCAUCACUAAGAGAUGGACCUGCGUUGUAUUAGCUAGUUGGUGAGGUAACGGCUCACCAAGGCGACGAUACAUAGCCGACCUGAGAGGGUGAUCGGCCACACUGGGACUGAGACACGGCCCAGACUCCUACGGGAGGCAGCAGUAGGGAAUCUUCGGCAAUGGGGGCAACCCUGACCGAGCAACGCCGCGUGAGUGAAGAAGGUUUUCGGAUCGUAAAGCUCUGUUGUAAGAGAAGAACGAGUGUGAGAGUGGAAAGUUCACACUGUGACGGUAACUUACCAGAAAGGGACGGCUAACUACGUGCCAGCAGCCGCGGUAAUACGUAGGUCCCGAGCGUUAUCCGGAUUUAUUGGGCGUAAAGCGAGCGCAGGCGGUUAGAUAAGUCUGAAGUUAAAGGCUGUGGCUUAACCAUAGUACGCUUUGGAAACUGUUUAACUUGAGUGCAGAAGGGGAGAGUGGAAUUCCAUGUGUAGCGGUGAGAUGCGUAGAUAUAUGGAGGA
rnacentral:rRNA from 1 species